CGGGGGAAAAAUUUAUUGCUAUUAGAUGAGCCUAUAUUAGAUUAGCUAGUUGGUGGAGUAAUAGCCUACCAAGGCAAUGAUCUAUAGCUGAUCUGAGAGGAUGAUCAGCCACACUGGAACUGAGAUACGGUCCAGACUCCUACGGGAGGCAGCAGUGGGGAAUAUUGGACAAUGGGCGAAAGCCUGAUCCAGCCAUGCCGCAUGAGAGAAGAAGGCCUUUGGGUUGUAAAGCUCUUUUAGUGAGGAAGAUAAUGACGGUACUCACAGAAGAAGUCCUGGCUAACUCCGUGCCAGCAGCCGCGGUAAUACGGAGAGGGCUAGCGUUAUUCGGAAUUAUUGGGCGUAAAGGGCGCGUAGGCUGAUUAAUAAGUUAAAAGUGAAAUCCCGAGGCUUAACCUUGGAAUUGCUUUUAAAACUAUUAAUCUAGAGAUUGAAAGAGGAUAGAGGAAUUCCUGAUGUAGAGGUAAAAUUCGUAAAUAUUAGGAGGAACACCAGUGGCGAAGGCGUCUAUCUGGUUCAAAUCUGACGCUGAAGCGCGAAGGCGUGGGGAGCAAACAGGAUUAGAUACCCUGGUAGUCCACGCUGUAAACGAUGAAUGUUAAAUAUGGGAAGUUUACUUUCUGUAUUACAGCU
rnacentral:rRNA from 1 species